rnacentral:tRNA from 1 species
GGGGAUUUAGCUCAGCGGUAGAGCGAUUGCCUAGCGAGCACAAGGCCCUGGGUUCGGUCCCCAGCUCCA